rnacentral:lncRNA from 1 species
CUGCUACUGCUGCUGCGCAUGCGCGGUGGGGCCCUGUGAAACUUGCAACUCUUGCGCAAACCUUACCCUAUUUUAACACUAGCUGUUGGCUAUUGCCGCUUCUUGCCAGGCUCUGUGCUGAGGGCUGGGUGCGCAGGGGUGGAGCUGGGGGUAUUCUGAUUGCCCUGGUCCCCAGGCCAACCUGCGUGGACCGCAUCACCCAGGCUCCCUCCCCCUCCAGUCACUGGGGAGGCCAGAGGAGAUGGGCAGCAGGGAGGGAGGUGAGGGUGCAGAAUCUACACCCACCGCUCCCUCCCUUACGGGGCUUCCCCCACCUUUACACACAGCCCCUCUCAGACUGUCCUUACGAGCCCGCACGCUCUCCCGAUGCAACCUUGACUAAAGAACUGGUACCAGACGUGGCUCAAGAAACAGCUGCUCCCACGAUCAGGUUCUGGAUCACUCACACAGGCAGCGUGUCUGCAGGUCACCUCCCUGCUGCUUGGAAACGGAGUACAGGCCAUGGGGUCAUGCAGAAGAAGCGUCACUAUUACCCGAGUUGUUACGAAAGGCAAGUUCACCGGCCAGACGCACCGUGAUGCACAGUGAGACAAAACAAACCGAAACGAGAGAGUUGGGAAAAGAGAAAGAUUAAUGGUGGGGAGUUCCUCUUGUGGCUCAGCAGAUUAAGAACCAGGCUAGUAUCUAUGAGGUUGCAGGUUCAAUCCCUGGCCUUGCUCUGUGGGUUGAGGAUCCAGCAUUGCCGGGAGCUGUGGCUAGGUCGUAGAUGCAGUUCAGUUUGGAUCUGGCAUUGCUGUGGCUGUGGUGUAGGCCGACAGAUGCAGCUGAUUCCACCCCUAGCCUGGAAACCUCCAUACGCAGUGGGUACAGCCCUAAAAAGACAAAAAAAGGCGGGGCCAAGUGAAGAGAACUGAUGCUCAUUAUCAAAAACCCCUGAACCCCUCCAGGGUUUUCAGCAAAGCAUUUUUAAAGCCCAGAUGAAGGGCAGAGGGGGUGGGGAGGUCCUGGCUCCCGUGAUCAGCUCAUGCACCGUUCUCAUUGGUUGAUGGUGAGGCGACGGGGGGUUGACGUUAUCAGUCCUUGGGCACCCGGAGGUCUGGGGGCACAAGACCAUCAAGCAGUUCAUUUCUUCCCCGUGGUGGUGGGUUUGAGCAUCUGAAAAAUCCAGGAAGUUUGCAUGAAAUACUAUUAUCCCAUGCUUCAAAGAGGAGCUGCCACAGGAGACAUGGGGAGGGGUCUGUCCCAGGAAGUCCCCGGAGGGUCCCGCCCCAUGACAAGGGAGGAGGUGAUCCCCAGCUGUGGUUUGGUUACCAUGGCAACUGGUGACGCCAUAGAUUGCAGUCACCUGCUUCUGCUUUCUGCCCUGGCGCACACGCUGGGGAAGAGAGAAAUGAACAGCGAACACACAGACCAAGGGUGGAGAUUCGGCAUCCCCCAGAGCAGCUUCGAAGGAGCCACUCGCCUCCGCUGGCCACUGGGCAGGUGUGCUGAAGACCGAGAGGGGUCUGAUGUGAGGGGCUGAGCUGAUCAAAUGCUCAGCUGUAACUUAAGGAGAAGGCGCCAACGGGAAAGGAGCGUGAAGGAUGAAGAGUGGAGAUGAGACUUUGGGGCAGAAAUACAUGCGCAGCUGAAAGUUUGGAGCUGCAAAUUCCCUUGAACCCCACUGUCCGCGUGUUGCCAAAACUUGGCCUCUGUCCACCAGUGCUGAGUACAAACAUGGAGACAAUUUGGGGAGGAGGAAAAAUAAUAUCACACAGCAGCUUGGGUCACUGCUGUGGCACGGAUUCCGUCCCUGGCCCAGGAACUUCCAUAUGCCACUAACACCGCUUCCCCCCCCCAAAAAAAAGGAGACUGACUUAGGAUGGCCUAAUUCUAUAGCCAGGAACAGUAAAAAUAAAAAGUGAAUCUAUUGCUAAGAAAUAAAAAAAAAUAGCUUUGCCAGACAAAGGGGGGCUCCCAGCAGGCUAGUGCCCUAAAGACUGCGCCCUCCUGGGGCGAGGUUAGGAGGUGGUUUUAUAGUUUGGGGGUGGAAAACAGGUCACAGAGAAGGACCAGGAUAAAGGCAACCUUACUUUCUUCUUCUAAGCUGGUGUUCAGUGGCCCCAGGAUGGGUUCUGUGGGUCUCCCUCUCUGAUUUUCAUUUGUUGGGGGGUUUAGUUCUGCAGAAGCGCUCAGAGAUACUGGUCUGUAUAUUCCUUGAGGAGGAGCCGGGCCCCGCCCCGAGGCUGCACUCUGGUCUCUUGACGACACCUCCCUGCUCUCUGCAUCUGGUCCUUCCCUGAUUAGCAACUGUUUGAACCUGCUCUUCCAGGUUCAUGGAUGCUGAAGCUUAUUUCCCAAAAACAAGAAAAGGGGGACCCAGAAAGGCUUGUGCCCAGGAGCCCCACAGGUUUCUGCUUGGUUUCACGUGGAGGCGGCACCCCCUCCCCUCCCUUUCUCUCCCUCCCCCUCCUGUCCUCAUUCUUUCUCCCCCCGCCCCCUUUUAAUCAUCACACCACAGCAUACUGAAGUUCCCAGUCUAAGGGUCCAAUAGGAGCUGCAGCUGCCGGUCUACACCACAGCCACAGCAACGCCAGAUCUGAGCUGCGUCUUUGACCUACACCAUAGCUCAUGGCAAUGCCAGAUCCUUAACUCACUGAGCAGUGAGGCCAGGGAUCAAACCAGCGUCUUCAUGGGUACCAGUUGGGUUCAUUACCUCUGAGCCGCAAUGGGAACUCUUAAGAGCCUUUCAACACCUGCUCCUGGGGAAGUGGCCUCGGGAUCUGAUGCCAGUUCUGCCCAGGACUCACCCACCUCUCACAGCUCCAUCCCCAGAAAGGAGCUGAGACCCGCAGAGCCCCGGGAACGGGGAACAAGACGUCCCUGGGGAGAUGGCACCCUGGGAGUGGAUUCCAAGACCUGGGUCAAAUGGGUGGAAAAAAAUCUAAAUUCGCCUGAAAUUUUUGACACAGGUGCUCUCACCUGAAAUUGACGUUUGGCUCAAGCCCUGAAAUGCUGGUGACUAAUCCACGAGGCUGAUCAAUGAAGCCUGAACAAGGAUGGCCGAGAAUUAAGGAAUAAAACUGCUUGAAGUCCCUGGCCUGCUGUGCAGGACAAACAUCAAAGCUCAGGGAAGCAGGACCGUAGAAAUGGACCGACUCCCCAGAGAGGCAGUGGCACCCAGCCACUAGGGAGGAGACACGGGGACAGCAAGGUGGCACUUGUGCUGCUGGCUCUUCGUUCAGGGGGUCCCUGGACAGGGAAGAGGUGCCU